GGACAGGUGGCCGAGCGGUCGAAGGCGCUCCCCUGCUAAGGGAGUAGAGGGGCAACCCUCUCGUGGGUUCGAAUCCCAUCCUGUCCGCCA
rnacentral:tRNA from 2 species